ACACCCCUUCUGCUUCUCAGGGGACGCUGGUCCACAGACCGAGGCCCCGUUGCGCGCGGCCGCCUUCGGAGCGCCGCCCUCCUCCCGAAACCGGCCGGGGCGAGUGGCUGCAAGAAGCUGCGGUUUGGCCCGCGGGAGAGGGGGGCUUCCCCGCUGGGGUUGUCUGACGCGAACGCCUUCCUGGCCCCAGCCAGGCGCCCUGAGAUGAUGAAGGUUUAAGAAGCAGCAUCAUCAGCGAACUGUGUUUUGAAGAUUUGAGGGAAGGGCUGACCUCAGGAUUUUAUACUAGGUAUUUGAUGCAAUGCAGACUGGAAUCCUCCCCACAAGGAUGCCCUGGCCUGAGUGGCACAGAGAUCAAUGCAGCAGUCAUUUCCUGGGCGGGGAAAGCCCAUCCACAGUGGCCCUGGAAUGAUGCUGGUCUUACCUUCUAUUCCUAGGAAGGCCCUAUCUCAAGUGGCUCUGGUCCAUGCAAACAGAUGGAAACGGGUGUGGGGAAGCACAGGCCUCCUACUCAUGUUAAGAGAGCUGCUCAGAGGCAGGAAUCCAGAACCAGGAAUGUCCCCAGUGGCUGCCCAAGGUACAAGUGGCAGGCAGCGGGGAGAAUGGCAUGUGAAGUCAUUUGUAACCUGGCCCCAGCUUGGUUUCCAAGUCUCAGAGGAGAUUAUGGAUAUGGUAGUGCCUGGCUCAGUGCUUAAAAUCCAUUCUCCUGCUAUUUCCCUCACCUACACUCAGCCCCACAAGCCGAGAUGUUUGCUGGACAUUUCAGGCACUGCCACCCAGUUCUGUCUACCUUACCUGCUAACACCUGUUGACCAUCCUUCAUGUGAAGGCUUCCCCAAAUACUUCCCAAUCAAAACACUAAAAGGCAGACCUGAAAUUAAUAAAAAUGUUAAUUAAAUCUGUACAACAGAAAGCAUAAUGCCAGUCUUUUUAAUUAUGAAAUGUAGCAUUCAUAUAAAUUUCAUUGCUUUUGAAAACAAUCUAUGGCUAGAUUCUCCUGGGUUUGUAUGAUGAUUACUGAAAACUGUAGAAAAUCUAAAAUCAAGCAAGUUGUUUAUAGGCAAUUACUUUCAGAAGCAAAAAUUAUAAAAGAACCAUGAGAUUUUUAAAGAGAAAAAAUUACAUUUGAUAUGAGAUAAUCAUGCAUUUUAAGAUGUUUAAAAUGACAUGGAGUGGGGUCCCCAGACCAGGAGAGCUGAGGGCUUAUGAAGGACCUAAGGGAGUGAGACCUGUUAUGUAAUAAGCCCCCAUUCUGGGGGCAGCACCACAGAGGCGGGACCCCAGAAGUAGAAGAAGAGCCCUCCUGCACUGGGUGGUGAAGUUGGUAUCAGCCCCUAGUUUGUGACCCUGGACAGAUUUCUCUGCUCUCCAGCCCUCAGAGUCCUCAAUAAAACAAAAACAUAUGCAAAUAUACAAAA
rnacentral:lncRNA from 1 species